GUACACGCUGUGACUAGCAUAUCAAUAAGCGGAGGAAAAGAAACUAACAAGGAUUCCCCUAGUAACGGCGAGUGAAGCGGGAAGAGCUCAAAUUUGAAAUCUUAAAGGGUUUCCCUUUACGAAUUGUAGUUUAAAGAAGUGUUUUCUGUUGAGGUUUUGGUAAAAGUUCUUUGGAAUAGGACAUCAUAGAGGGUGAGAAUCCCGUAUUUGACCUCUACUUUCAACUUUGUGAUACACUUUCAAAGAGUCGGAUUGUUUGGGAAUGCAGUCCAAAAUGGGUGGUAAAUUUCAUCUAAAGCUAAAUAUUGGCGAGAGACCGAUAGCGAACAAGUACCGUGAGGGAAAGAUGAAAAGAACUUUGAAAAGAGAGUUAAACAGUACGUGAAAUUGUCAAAAGGGAAGCGUUUGACACCAGUGUUGUUUUUCUGAAAAUCAAUUAAAGAACUGUUUAUGCUAAGUUGUUUAGACUUUAUCAGCUAACUGUUUAGUUUUGAGCUUUUCUUUAAUGCACUUUUCAGUUAACAAGUCAACAUCAAUUUCUUUUGCUGUAAAAAAGCUUGAGGAAGGUGGCUUGAGAUUCGUCUUAAGUGUUUAUAGCCUCUUGCCUAUGCAGUCGGAGAGAUUGAGGUCUGCAGCGUAGAUCCUUCGGGGCUAAAUGCAUUUGUGCUAAGUUAUAGCAUUUUCAUAGACAACUUGUUGACUAUGAUUUGUCUUGUAGCUUACUCGCUUAUGUUAUUUUACCUACGCUUAGGAUGUUGACAGCAGUAUAGACUGU
rnacentral:rRNA from 1 species